GCCGCUGCUCUGGCUCUUCCGGAAACGCCCUUCACGUGGCAGUCACGUGACAGGCUCUGGGUGGGGCCCCGCGGCUUAGUUUCUCGGACUUGUGUCGGGAAGACGAAAAAACGAAGCUCUGAGGAGACACAUAUGUUACACACAACUGGCAGUAGCAGAGAUGUGAUCCAAACCCAGGCUGCUGAGUAUUGUGAAAAGAGAUCUGAGCUUGGAAGAUUGGACACGGAUUCCAGUAGUGAUGCCCAACCAAGUGGAGAGAUUUCUCUGAGACUCAGUUUUAUCAAACAAAAGCCAGAAAUUUUACUUGGUCUGUUUGGUUUAGAAGAAUCCCGAAGCAUCAAGUAAAAUAAUUAAUGUGAAUAUAAUUUUAAAAAUAUGAAGUUUUAGGAAAAUAAAUAUCACUCAUAAUCAUUUCAGUCCAUGCUCAUUUCUUUAUCAGUGUAGAUAGACCACACUGCAGUGCUUUUCAGUCUUUUUUCUUUCCUCUUUUUGCUCCUGUGACUCUUCUCUCCCUCCCCUUCUUUUCUCCCAACAUCAAGUGGUCAAAGUGCCUGUUUAGUUUGGCCAUUGGUAGAAUGGGUCUGAAGACCACAGCUGAGGUUACUACGUCAGUAACUUUCUGCUAAAAUUCAAUGAAAAAAAAAACAAAAAACACUGAGAAACUAUUUAUAGCUGUGCUCCUCAAACCAGAGAAGGUCAGAAAACAAACCAAAUCCUCCAAAUCCUCUACUUUUCACUCGUGUGUACGAGUCUUGGUAUUUGAUGUUCACUUGCACAGGGUAUCAUAUGCAGUAUGUUUAUUUUACAAAUAAGCAGUUUGUUUUGGUAGAGCCAAUAUCUGGAAAAACACCUUCUCUAGGCAUUGUUUAGAGAAUAAUAAGGAUAAAGUGAAUUUUAAAUGAAAUUCCUUAGAGAGAUCUGUAAUUCAGGCAACAGAUGUCAAAGUGAAAUCAAUCCCUGAUUCUUUCUUACGUGACUUCACUUGAACAUGAAUGAACCCUAUUGAAUAUGUAUUGCAUGUUAUUUUCCCUGUAUCUUUUCUUUUUCUUUGCCUUUUUUCUUUAGCACCUUUUAAUUUUCAUAUUAUCCAACCCCAGAAGCUGAUAGGAGAUAUUGGGCAGGUCAGAAUUCAAGAGCUGUGACCGAUGACAGUGAUUUGAGAGGAAGGUAUACAGUCUCUCUUUCCUGCCUCAAAGUUUAUAAAGAGUUAAAAAAAAGUUUAAAAAUAGGAACAGAGACAGUCAAUAAAGACAUUUAGCAGUUUUAGCAGAACAUAAAGUUACCUUAAGAACAAGUAGUGAUAAUUGGUUAAUUAGAAGUAGAAGAUUGGCUAGGUAUUAAGAGAUUUCUGAGAAGAAAGCAUGAAAAUAAAGGAGUAAAAGCUGAGCUAUAAAGAUAAUUCUCCUUUUUUAAUGUCUCAAGUUCAAAAAAUAUUGGUGAUCUUUUAGAUUUUACGAAAUAGUGCCAUGUAGAAAACAGUCGAAGUAAUUAAAACAGGAUCAUUCUAGAGCAGAAUGAAUAGUUUGCUUUAUUCACUGAUGAUCCACCAAUUUAAAAAAUGCUGAAUAGAAAAGAGAUUUAAGUGUUGACAUUCUCUAAGCUGAUAUUAUUAAUAGCUCAAAAUUCUAUUUAUUUAAACAGAUGCAGUAAUCAGCAUUAAGGAAGUGAGCUGUCUCAUGAUUUGGGGGGCAGGAGGAAGUUAUCUCCUUACAAAGGAGAAUGAUUAAAAGUCCUAAAAUUUUUAUUACUUAUUCAUUUACAAAAUUGAAUUUCUAAUUUACAUACAUAUAGUAAAAUUAACUGUGCGUAUUUGUGUGUGUGUGUGUGUUAUGUGUUUUGACAAAUGUGUACAAUCGUGUUACCUCCACCAUAAUCAAGAUAUAGAAGAGUGCCAUCAUUCCAAAGAAACCCCCUCAUAUUGUCACUUUGUAGCAAAACCUCUACCCCCUUCCCUCCCCUUUUAAACUCUGUCAACCACUGAAAUGUUUUCUGUCCUCAUAGUUUUGCCUUUGCUAUAUUAUACUGGACCAAGCGAUAGAGACACUUUACACAAAAGGAGAGGGAGACACAGUCAUGGGAACAUGCCCAUGAGAUCAACUGGACCUAUUCCAUGCUGCACCACUCAGAAGCUGACAGUUGGUUAGAAUAAUGAAAUGGCCCCAUGAGAUGCCAGCUUGUUGAACAAACUCUGUAAAGAUAGGAUUCAUCCUCCAUGAUGAGUGUAUACUCUAAGUAAACAAACAUUGUUUUGUUUAUUCUGUGUAACCUGUGGACCACUUGGAUAUGAGAACUCGGGAGUAAGUAGGAAUGGCUCUAUUUACUAUCUUGCCCAGAGGCUCACUAGGAUGCAUUUGUGUUAUGUAAAGUCAGGAUUCUGAAUUCUGCAGGUUUAGAGGGUUUUCAGAGGGAAAAUGCUUUCAAUACAGGAUAUUUCAAUACAGGAUAUUCAAUAUCAUUUCAUUUCAAGCUCUGUCAAUCCAGUUACUUUAGUUGAUCACUAACUCAAAGAAUAAC